GGGAGAAUGUCGAUCAGGGAGGGCUUCAAUUCGAUAGGUGGCAUGCUCAAUCAGAUAGGGAGGAUGACGGUCAGCAUCGAGCUCGAUCAGGGAGGGAGGAAAAAGACUGAUGGUGGUGGCAUGAGAGAGCGAGAGAGAGACGACCAAUAGCCGGCACGGUGGUGUGGAGGGACGACGUCGAUCAAGAAGGGCUUUAACCCAACUAGUGGCACGCUAGACCGGGGAGGGAGGACGACGGCUGGCAUCGAGCUCGAUUUGGG
rnacentral:lncRNA from 1 species